UUGUCAUCUCUCUCCCUCUCUCAUUGAUUUAGUUGUUAGUGUAAACGCAUAUGCUUUUAAUACAGGUUUUUGAACAGUUAAAACUCUCUUUCCUUCUUUCUCAGAGUAUGUACAGAGUACAACCUUUAUCCAAGUUUCUGAAGGAGUUACUUUCCUUGUUCAUAAUUUUUGUAACAUUUUGAAGCCUUUAAGGAGCAAGAAUCAUUAAGACUCACUAUCACAAUGUUACGUAAAUGGCCAAUGCUACUUUUACUUUUAACCAUUUUCAUCAUUUUCUCUUCCUUCACCCAUGGAGAAGCAGAGUCUCCUUUUCAAUCACCACCUAUAUCAGAUGAAUUUAGGGAGGGGAGGAAUGAAGAUAAUGUGAUGGUUUCAAGGCUAUUUGCUGAAGGUCCCAAUAAUAUUGCUGAAGCUCCAGUGCAGAGCUCAUCACUUAUAUUGGCUGCUCAAAGAACAUAUAGAAAAGACCCUCUAAAUGGUUUUAAGAGAUAUACUGGAGGAUGGAACAUCAAUGACCACCAUUACUGGGCUUCUGUGGCAUUUACAGCAGUUCCGUUCUUUAUCACCGCGCUGCUCUGGUUUCUGAUCUUUGGACUUUGUUUAUUGUUCAUCUGUGUCUGUUCCCGUUGCUGUAAAAGAGAACCUUAUGGAUACUCUCCAGCGGCUUACGCUCUUUCCCUUAUAUUCCUUGUGCUUUUCACCAUUGCUGCAAUUAUUGGAUGUGUCAUUUUGUACACAGGCCAAGAGAAGUUCCACAGCAGUACAAUUAACACUUUGGACUAUGUGGUGCAUCAGGCAAAUGCAACAGCUGAUAAUCUCAUGAAUGUGUCUCUUUAUCUAGCAGCUGCCAAACAACUUGCAGUGGAUAAAAUUUUGAUCCCUGCUAAUGUCCAAACAGACAUUGAUUACGUCCAAACGAAGAUUACUUCUUCUGCUAGUACCCUUUCCACUAAAACAGCUGACAAUAAGGAUGAUACAGAACACCUGAUACAAUCAGUGAGAGCCGCUCUUAUCAUUUUAUCUGCUGCUAUGCUUCUUUUGACAUUUCUUGGAUUAGUAUUCUCAAUUUUCGGCAUGCAAGUUUUUGUCUACAUCUUGGUUAUUUUUGGAUGGAUUCUCAUCACUGGAACAUUGAUUUUAUGUGGCAUAUUUCUUGUUCUCCACAACGUGACUGCAGACACUUGUGUAGCAAUGGAUCAGUGGAUCCAGAACCCCACUGCUCAUACAACUUUAGAUGACAUAUUACCUUGUGUGGACUAUGCCACAGCACAAGACACGCUAACCAAAAGCAAGGAAGUGACUUAUAACCUGGUAGAUAUUGUCAACCAGGUUAUUACAAAUGUCUCGAACAUCAAUUUCUCUCCCAACUUUGCUCCUUUCUACUACAAUCAAUCAGGACCUUUGCUUCCAAUCCUUUGCAAUCUGUUUAAUCCUGACUUAACUUCUCACAACUGUAGUCCUGCUGAAGUCGAUUUGGAUAAUGCAACUCAGGUGGGAGUGGCCUCGGUGGAAGACAAGAUGCGGGAAGCGAGACUGAGAUGGUUUGGGCAUGUGAAGAGGAGAGACACGGAUGCCCCAGUGCGGAGGUGUGAAAGGUUGGCCAUGGAUGGUUUCAGAAGAGGUAGGGGUAGGCUGAAGAAAUAUUGGGAGAGGUGAUUAGACAACAAUGGCGCAGUUACAGCUUAGCGAGGACAUGACCUUAGAUAGGAGGGUUUGGAGGACUCAUAUUAGGGUAGAAGGCUAGUAGAUAGUCUCGUUAUCCUUCCUUAUUAGUAGGCACAUUAUCGCAGUAUAAUUUCUUGUGCUUUGAUUUCUGCUAUUAUUUGUUAUUUCUUGUACUUUGAUUAUUCUAUUUUAUCUGUGUCGCUUUCGUUAUUUGCAUUUCCAUAUCGCUUUGAAUUUCUUAGCAUUAUCUGACCUCUUUUUAUGCUUUUUAUUGAGCCGAGGGUCUUUCAGAAGCAGCCGUCCUACCUUGGUAGGAGUAAGGUUUUGAACAACUACGUUUGUCAAGUUUCACCGAGUGGCGUUUGUGUCACACCAGGCCGUCUGACUCCGACCCUGUACAGCCAGAUGGCUGCUGCUGUAAAUUUGACCAAUGGAUUGUACCAAUAU